rnacentral:rRNA from 1 species
GUGUGCGCGCUUCAGGGCCGGUUUCAGCGGGACACUCUGCUUCCUGCUUACUGCUAAAUCCUCCUUCUAGAUACACGUUUCAGUAUUAUUAUCCGUGAUUCGCUGUAAUAGGGAAUGUAGCCCAUUUCUUUCCCUCCCAUACGCUACACCUCGACCUGACGUUUUGGGUUUUACCAAUUGUGCUUACUAGGGGGCCUUCAUAGGGUAAGCUGGCGACGGCGGUAUAUAGGCGGGGAUGACUAGGAAGGGUGAGGUUAAACGGGGGUUAUCGGUUAUAGAACAGGCUCCUCUAGGUGGGUCUAAAGCACCGCCAAGUCCUUUGGGUUUUAAGCUGUUGCUCGUAGUUUCCAGGCGGAUAGUGGUUGUGUAAAGCUAUCAAUGUUUAGGGCGAAGCAUAGUGGGG